rnacentral:rRNA from 1 species
UACGGGGGGAGCAAGCGUUGUUCGGAAUUACUGGGUGUAAAGGGUUCGUAGGCGGUGCGGCAAGUCGGGAGUGAAAUCUCUGGGCUCAACCCAGAGGCUGCUUCCGAAACUGCUGUGCUUGAGUGUGGGAGGGGCGCGUGGAAUUGCAGGUGUAGCGGUGAAAUGCGUAGAUAUCUGCAGGAACACCCGUGGCGAAAGCGGCGCGCUGGACCACUACUGACGCUGAAGAACGAAAGCUAGGGGAGCAAACAGG